rnacentral:lncRNA from 1 species
GGCGAUCCAAGCGAGUCCUAUGGUGUUCCCAGCCAAGAGGCUGUGUGUGGUCCCGUACAUGGAGGGCGUUCGCUGGGCCUUUUCCUGCGGCACCUGGCUGCCAAGUCCAGCCGAAUGGCUUCUGGCGGUGCGAUCGAUCCAGCCAGAGGAGAAGGAGCGCAUCGGCCAGUUCGUGUUUGCUCGCGACGCUAAGGCGGCCUUGGUACUUGAGGCCGGCGGCUUUGGGGAGGCGGGCCGGGCUUCGGAGCCCUAUAUGCGCUUCUGGUGUUGCAGCCUCCGAGCCGCCGGCGGGCUGAUGACUCCGUAGUGUGUGCGACUGUCUUCGGCCUUUGCACCCUCGGAGGCCUGGGGCACUUAAAACUAGUCCUCUUUUGUGAGGUUGAGAGUGGAGACCCUUAACCCUAAAAUUGGAGGCAGGGCCUAGGAAGUAAUCGUUGUUUACUAAUGAAUAUAUACUUCGAAAAUUAAAAGCUUAGAAGCCAUAAAUAAACUUUCUAAGCAGUGUACUUAUGCGAUUAGUAGAUAGCAAUACAUACCCUGUGUUUUAUGUCUAAACAGGCUGGUCGUCUUAUGAUAAGGAAAUUAGUUGCAGAGAAAUUGAAUAUCCCUUGGGAUCACAUCCGUCUGCAGAGAACUUCAAAGGGAAAGCCAAUUUUGGCGAAAGACACGUUGAAUCCUUAUCCCAAUUUCAACUUUAACAUCUCUCAUCAAGGGGACUAUACAGUUCUUGCCGCAGAACCUGAACUACAAGUUGGUAUUGAUAUCAUGAAGACUAGUUUUCCAGGUCGUGGUUCAAUUCCAGAAUUCUUUCAUAUCAUGAAAAGAAAGUUUACAAACAAGGAGUGGGAAACAAUCAGAAGUUUUAAUGAUGAAUGGUCUCAACUGGAUAUGUUUUACCGGCAUUGGGCACUGAAAGAAAGCUUCAUAAAAGCCAUUGGUGUUGGACUGGGAUUUGAAAUGCAGCGGCUUGAAUUUGAUGUAUCUCCAUUAAGCAUGGACAUCGGCCAGGUUUAUAAGGAAACACGUUUGAUUUUGGAUGGGGAAGAAGAAAAGGAAUGGGCCUUUGAGGAAAGCAAAAUAGAUCAACACCAUUUCGUUGCGGUGGCUCUUAGGAAGCCUGAUGGAUCUAGACAUCAAAAUGUUUCAUAUCAAGAUGAUUCUAAGCCAUCUCAGAGGCAGUUCACCAUUCUUAACUUUAAUGACUUGAUAGCAUCUGCUAUUCCUAUGACACCUGAGGAUCCUUCAUUUUGGGACUGCUUUUGUUUCACAGAAGAAAUUCUAAUACGAAAUGGUUCCAAGUCAUGAUAGGAUUCUCUGAGAAAGGAAAAUAAAUGAAAAGGAUAAUCUUGUGUAUUCACUGAAAUAAAUUACCUGAUGUGGUCAAAUUUUAUUUAACAAAACAUUUUUUUCCUUUUAUUUGGAAAAACAUUUUUUUCUUUUAUUUAUAUUUCAAAUUUUAUCCCUUUUCCAGGUUUCCCAUCCAAAAACCCCCAUCCCAUGCCCUCUCCCCCUACUUCUAUGAGAGUGCUCCCCAACCUCCCACCCAUUUCCCCCCUCCUCCCUGCCCUGGCAUUCCCCUACACUGGGGCAUCUAGCCUUCACUGGACCAAGGGCCUCUCCUCCCAUUGAUGCCUAGCAAGGCCAUACUCUGCUACAUAUGUGACUAGAGCAUAGGUCUCUCCAUGUGUACUCUUUGGUUGGUGGUUUAGUCCCUGGGAACUCUGGGAUAUCUGGUUGGUUGAUACUGUUGUUCUUUCAAUGGGAUUGCAAACCCCUUCACC